GACGAACUUUGGCGGCGUGCUUAACACAUGCAAGUCGAACGGAAAGGCCCUGCUUUUGUGGGGUGCUCGAGUGGCGAACGGGUGAGUAACACGUGAGUAACCUGCCCUUGACUUUGGGAUAACUUCAGGAAACUGGGGCUAAUACCGGAUAGGAGCUCCUGCUGCAUGGUGGGGGUUGGAAAGUUUCGGCGGUUGGGGAUGGACUCGCGGCUUAUCAGCUUGUUGGUGGGGUAGUGGCUUACCAAGGCUUUGACGGGUAGCCGGCCUGAGAGGGUGACCGGCCACAUUGGGACUGAGAUACGGCCCAGACUCCUACGGGAGGCAGCAGUGGGGAAUAUUGCACAAUGGGCGGAAGCCUGAUGCAGCAACGCCGCGUGCGGGAUGACGGCCUUCGGGUUGUAAACCGCUUUCGCCUGUGACGAAGCGUGAGUGACGGUAAUGGGUAAAGAAGCACCGGCUAACUACGUGCCAGCAGCCGCGGUGAUACGUAGGGUGCGAGCGUUGUCCGGAUUUAUUGGGCGUAAAGGGCUCGUAGGUGGUUGAUCGCGUCGGAAGUGUAAUCUUGGGGCUUAACCCUGAGCGUGCUUUCGAUACGGGUUGACUUGAGGAAGGUAGGGGAGAAUGGAAUUCCUGGUGGAGCGGUGGAAUGCGCAGAUAUCAGGAGGAACACCAGUGGCGAAGGCGGUUCUCUGGGCCUUUCCUGACGCUGAGGAGCGAAAGCGUGGGGAGCGAACAGGCUUAGAUACCCUGGUAGUCCACGCUGUAAACGGUGGGUACUAGGUGUGGGGUCCAUUCCACGGGUUCCGUGCCGUAGCUAACGCUUUAAGUACCCCGCCUGGGGAGUACGGCCGCAAGGCUAAAACUCAAAGGAAUUGACGGGGCCCCGCACAAGCGGCGGAGCAUGCGGAUUAAUUCGAUGCAACGCGUAGAACCUUACCUGGGUUUGACAUGGAUCGGGAGUGCUCAGAGAUGGGUGUGCCUCUUUUGGGGUCGGUUCACAGGUGGUGCAUGGCUGUCGUCAGCUCGUGUCGUGAGAUGUUGGGUUAAGUCCCGCAACGAGCGCAACCCUUGUUCACUGUUGCCAGCACGUUAUGGUGGGGACUCAGUGGAGACCGCCGGGGUCAACUCGGAGGAAGGUGGGGAUGACGUCAAGUCAUCAUGCCCCUUAUGUCCAGGGCUUCACGCAUGCUACAAUGGCUGGUACAGAGAGUGGCGAGCCUGUGAGGGUGAGCGAAUCUCGGAAAGCCGGUCUCAGUUCGGAUUGGGGUCUGCAACUCGACCUCAUGAAGUCGGAGUCGCUAGUGAUCGCAGAUCAGCAACGCUGCGGUGAAUACGUUCCCGGGGCU
rnacentral:rRNA from 1 species